AUUUGAUUGAGACUAAUCAAAAGGUAUGCACCAAGCUGUGAUGGUCAUACUAACCUGAACGAACCCCGGGAGGCAGUUCCCGUCAACGCCGUUGAGUCAUAAGGUUCUAUUGAGAUGAGAAACAUUUUUCGGAAACUCGAAGAAUAAACUAACCUGAUCCUCCUGUGACUCGUGAUCCUCCGAAGACUUCACACAUUCAACAGCUUAGGUGCUGCAUCCACCGAUGUUCGAAGUUCUGAAAAUCGACCACAUCAAGAUUUGUCAGCACUCAAAAGAAGUCGCCAGUUAUAUCCUUUGCUUCAAUGUUCAUUUGUUGAAAAACAGUACAAAGAAAACCGCACAUCCUGGUACUGUCGUCAAAUACCUUCCUUAUAAGGAGAAAUAUUGUAUUACGAAAUGUUCAGUUAUUUUAGUUGUGAAGAUCCCUUCGCUAGUAACAGAUCUACUAACCUUGUCCUCUAGUGGCGAUCCAUGUCUGCUAAAUUGGAAAAAUCAACUGCUUCUUUUAUAAGUGGAAAAAUUGUAAUACGAAAUAAUCAACAAGUCAUGAAGAUUCCAUCUUGUAAACAAGUUAUUUUUACGGUGUUCGUGCUCAUCUUUUUUCCACUUCUCAUUAAGGGAAAACCAAACUUGAUGUUGCCUUGUGGUGGAUUCAGAUUCUUGGAAAGGGUGUUAUUUUUUUUUUCUUUGAUCGGAAAAUAGAAAUUUCACUGCCUAGCUGAUUGCAACCAUCCUCGGUAUGGGGCUCUAAAACCCUUUAUUAAUUAAGUUUACGUCGAAGACUUGUAAACUUGCUGCUGAAGAAAACGAUAUCAGACAUUGGCAAUAUGGGUGCAACGUCUGACAUGGUUGUUGCCGAUCUUUAAGAAAAUUAUGUACAACGUCGUCGGCUACGUGAGCUUCCAUGUUUGG